AUGAAGCGCACGGAGGAGGCUUUGGGCGUGCUGCUCCACAGGAUGCCCGACGACCUGCCUAAUGCCAUCUCCUACUCAGUAAUUCUCAAGAGUUUCUGCGACAGUGGGAGGAGCCAGCUUGCGCUUGACCUGCUCCAAAUGAUGGCCAAAAAAGGAGCUGACCACUCCCCCGACGUGGUUGCAUACAACAUGGUAAUCGAUGGCUUCUUUAAGGAGGGCGAAGUAAGCAAAGCAUGCGAUCUGUUCCAUGAAAUGAUACAACAGGGGGUUGUGCCUACUGUGGUGACGUAUAACUCUGUUAUCGAUGCGCUAUGCAAAGCAAGAGCAAUGGACAAGGCGGAGGUGGUUCUUCGAUCAAUGGUUCAUAACGGUGUACACCCGAAUACUGUGACAUAUAAUAGCUUGAUCCAAGGACUUUGGGACAGUUGA
rnacentral:rRNA from 1 species